rnacentral:lncRNA from 1 species
AAAUGGUUCACUGGUUACUGUUAUGGUCAGUUGUUAUUUUAAAACAUGUAAAGAAGGUAUUACAGAGAAAUACAGAAUAAUUUAUGAUUUUGAGAAUACCCAAGAAUUGCUGGGAAUUCCAAUUUCUUGUUCCGGAAUCCUGAAGAUUAUUGUCUCUCAAGAAUUUGCAGACACGGUACAGUCCCUGGCACGAGCAGACACUCAGCGUAUAUUUAGAAAGAAGGGAUGUUAUUUUGUUGUUUGAUGGUCCCAGCUGUCCUAUGAAGUAGAAGUGAAUGUGCCAUUUUACACGUGAGAAUCCUGGCUCUCCUUUGAGACUGACGGGGGACAACAUCCUUAAGAUUCUUAAAAGCUGCAUUGUUCGCUGAGAUGGCCUGUGCGCCACCCCUCAGGACUCCUGGAAGUACUGAUAGUGCCUUUGCUCGUCUUCACCUGCUCUGUGGCCCAGGAGACUGCUGGUUGAGUUCAGCCACCAGAUGACGCCAGCUGAAGGUCAGUGGGGGUGGUGGUGAAUGAAGUCACAGUGUUCAUUCCUCCAGCUCCCUCCCAGAAGCUGCCAAAAGCCUGACGGCAGGAAAGAUUUAUACUCAGUGCUUCAUACAUGCUCAAAAGAAAGGAAACCAUUUAAAAAUAAAUAUGUAAUAGUUAAAGAACUUGGUCACGACUCUGCCUUAAACUUUCAGUCUAUAAAUCUGAAGUAGUAAUUGCAUGCUGUUGGGACGUUUUAGAGACUGAGGUGAUGUUUUAAAAGUGUUUUGUGCUAUUCAGAGAGAAAAUGUGGUUUACAUUAUAUUUUAAAUGUGAAUUACCAGGAAAUUAUCUCUUCUUCUUCCUCUUCUUCUUCCUCUUCCUUUUCCACUUCAGAUUAUCCCUCUUUGCCUAUAGCAUUAAGAGGGGAGAAUAUUCACAAUUAUAAAGACAGUAAUUUCCUUAAUCUAUAAAUUCAAACCAGAGACAAAUAAAACACCAGGGUGAUUCCUUUACCUUGACAAUGUACUGCUAAAGUUCAUCAGGAAUGUAGACGGAGAGCUAGAAAACUCUGAAAGAUGAGAUUGAGAGGAAGUAAUUAAC